CACCCACAACCAUAUAUUUCCAUUUCUCCUUUUUAACAGCUGCUUAUCUUUACAUCAGUUCAUACGCUCUCUCCAAUUUCAAAUUUUGAAUUUGUGCUUUGAUGGCCUUCAGGAUUUGCUCCGGAUUCCGCUCACGACUUUCUCAGCGUUCGCUUGGAGGUUAAAAUUUGUAGAUUGAACAUCUCCUUCAAUUAUCUCAGGGCACAAAGAAUGCUGACAGGAGCAGGCAGCACCAUGUCCCUGUGGAUCAUGUUGGCCAGAGCGACAAUCAUAACCAGCCCAGUCCAGAGAACUCUUUCCUUAGUGGUCCGAAGGGGGAAAAUUAACGAAAA